rnacentral:rRNA from 1 species
UACGUAGGGUGCGAGCGUUGUCCGGAAUUAUUGGGCGUAAAGAGCUCGUAGGCGGUUUUGUCGCGUCUGCCGUGAAAGUCCGGGGCUCAACUCCGGAUCUGCGGUGGGUACGGGGCAGACUAGAGUGAUGUAGGGGGAGACUGGAAUUCCUGGUGUAGCGGUGAAAUGCGUAGAGAUCGGAAAGAACACCAACGGCGAAAGCAACUCUGCUGGGCCGACACUUGACACUGGAGAGACGAAAGCUAGGGGAGCGAAUGGG